rnacentral:rRNA from 1 species
AGUGAACGCUGGCGGCAGGCCUAAUACAUGCAAGUCGAACGGCAGCACAGUGGAGCUUGCUCCAUGGGUGGCGAGUGGCGGACGGGUGAGGAAUACAUGGGAAUCUGCCCAGUCGUGGGGGAUAACGUAUGGAAACGUACGCUAAUACCGCAUGCGCCCUAAGGGGGAAAGCCGGGGACCGCAAGGCCUGGCGCGAUUGGAUGAGCCCAUGUGCGAUUAGCUAGUUGGCGGGGUAAAGGCCCACCAAGGCGACGAUCGCUAGCUGGUCUGAGAGGAUGAUCAGCCACACUGGGACUGAGACACGGCCCAGACUCCUACGGGAGGCAGCAGUAGGGAAUAUUGGACAAUGGGCGCAAGCCUGAUCCAGCCAUGCCGCGUGAGUGAAGAAGGCCCUCGGGUUGUAAAGCUCUUUCAGCCGGGAAGAAACGCAUGGGUUAAUACCCUGUGUGGAUGACGGUACCGGAAUAAGAAGCACCGGCUAACUACG